ensembl:lncRNA
AGGUGAGGGAACAGUCUGGUGUGUGUGUGUGUGCUCCAAUCAGGUGAGGGAACAGUCUGGUGUGUGUGUGUGUGUGUGCUCCAAUCAGGUGAGGGAACAGUCUGAUGUGUGUGUGAUCCAAUCAGGUGUGGGAACAGUCUGAUGUGUGUGUGUGUGUGUGUGUGCUCCAAUCAGGUGUGGGAACAGUCUGGUGUUCUGAUGUGUGUGUGCUCCAAUCAGGUGAGGGAACAGUCUGAUGUGUGUGUGAUCCAAUCAGGUGUGGGAACAGUCUGAUGUGUGUGUGUGUGUGUGUGUGCUCCAAUCAGGUGUGGGAACAGUCUGGUGUGUGUGCUCCAAUCAGGUGUGGGAACAGUCUGAUGUGUGUGUGCUCCAAUCAGGUGAGGGAACAGUCUGAUGUGUGUGUGCUCCAAUUAGGUGUGGGAACAGUCUGGUGUGUGUGUGUGUGCUCCAAUCUGGUGUGAGAACAGUCUGGUGUCUGAUGUGUGUGUGCUCCAAUCAGGUGUGGGAACAGUCUGAUGUGUGUGUGUGUGUGUGUGUGUGUGCUCCAAUCAGGUGAGGGAA